GAAACACAAUCUGAGGGGACCAGUGGCUCCCUCCUGUGUCCUCGGUGAAUGGUCUCCUCUUUCCUUUUCCUACCUUUACUUUUCUCCAGUGCCUUUGGUUGUUUCUCACCUGCUGCUGCUGCUACAGUUGGAGUGGUUACUAUAGUGGCUUUGCAUCUAGUUCUUCUUCCAUCUGCUUCUCCUCAGCAACUCUGCUUCUAAGUACAUCUCAGCCAUUGCAGACAGUUGGUGUCAGAUCACCCAUCCUUGAACCCCUCAUGUAGCUGACCUAAAUGCAUCUUUAAAAACAGCAGCUCUAUUAACUCUAAGGCCUGGUCUACACCUAAAAAUUAGCUCAGGCUCUGAAAAUUGUUGCACUCUGUGAGACAUAGGUCAACCUAACCCCCAGUGUAGACACAGCUAAAUCAGUGGAAGAGUUUUACCACCUCUCGGAGAGCUGGAUUAACAAUAUCAACAUAAAAACCCCUUCUGUCAAUGUAGGAAGCGUCUACACUGUGGCACUACAUUGCUGAGUUAGAUGCAGGACUCACUGAAUUAAAUCUAUAGCCAGUGUUAUGGAGGAGGUCAGUUUAUGUGAUCAUAAUGGUUUCUUCUAGCCUUACGGUCUAUGAAUCUAUUCCCAUCUUAUCAAGAAUGGCCAGGCUCAUGAUCUGUGGCAUUGUCCUCUCCCAGGGCUCUAUAUGUUGCUUGUGACUCUCCUGUUAGGAGUGGAGUUGAACAAUCCAGGACUACUCUCACUGAGCGGCAGUGGCCAUCUAGCUGAAUGUAAUCAGACAUGCUUCUGGAUUACCAUCUAGUUCCAUUUUAGAUGGGUGUACUCUUAGGCUUGCAGGAAGCCUAGGUGGUAGUUAUUACAAGUAAUCAUAAAGAUAACCAGUAUCCCUCCCUAUAGCUGCCCUUCUGCAUUUGUGGAAUGGGGAUUUUAUUGAUGAUUAGAAGAUGGGAUGGGAUAUUCUUUGCAGCACUUUGAAAUAAUUCAACAACAUCUGCUAAAAAGGAGCCCCUCUGAAACAGUGAAUUCACAGAAAAAUAAAAGGCUUGUUGCUAAGAAUUACAGAUAUUGUCAGCUACUGAGUAAGCAACUGGAAAUCACUGGCAUUAUUCCCUGAAUCUAUAAUACAUUCCAGGCUUUAUUAUCUUGGACUAGCAUAUGUAAAUGCCACAGCGAAGAAUUCUGUCAAACUUCUUCAUGUGAUCCAUUCACUAAGUGCAUCUCAAGCUUCACAGGAAAUUGGCUAUGAAUUAUUUUGUAACCAUUGACUACAGCAUGUUGACUUUAAACAUCUGGGAUUAAUAUUGAAGUCUUGGUCUAAUUUUGUCAUAACCUGUAAAUAUCUGACACUCGCCUUAAAAUUUUUCCUGGAAUGGCAUCCCUUGGAGAUUUUUAACACAUGUUAUAAAGUGUAAUCUGUGUAAGAUUGAGCAGUACUUCUACAGGAUAGAAAGAGAGGGGUAGAUUUGUAUUGUUAAUUAUUAGAAAUACAUUUAACAGCAGCAGGAAAAAAGUAAGCUUCUUUCUGCUCCACUUUUGUUGUUGAAUAUAGUUUACUUGUCAGUUUCAUGUCAUGUAAACAUCCCAUUCUCCGCCCCCCCCCCAUGUACAAUAGUUAUGUCUCACUUGUCAGAACCUCAGAUGAUGUAAAUGGACAGAGCUCCACUGAAGUUAAUGGCAUUGCAGCUAUUUACACCAUCUGAGAUUUGGCCUAAAGUGUUAAAGCUGGAAGUAUGGCAUAUUACCUAAUCCUGGCACAAUGACUUCAUGCUUAGUCAAAGCAGAUGCACAAACUGGUCACUCUUAUGGAACAUACUGGUUGGCUGACAAUCACUGCUUUAAAGACAGCAGUCCUAUAGCAGCCUCUCACAAAGGGGUUUAGGUAGAGCAGGUAAAUUUUUGGCAACAAACUUUGAAAAAAGUGAAGUCUUCAUGACUUUCCACCUUUUUUUACAGAAAUUUUCAAAAUAGAAAAUUUCAAGCUAACUGAAAAUAGAAAAAGCUGACAGCAAGUUUUCAGCUAGCUCUAGUUUCAGGGAAUAAUUUUAGUGGAGGCUUUAGAUGAGAAAGUCUUUUUAAAUGACCCCAUACCACUGCACAUAUUGACUCUAAAAUGGAUACCCAGAGAGGAAUUGUGGGGCAGAUUGUCACCUGAUAUAAUCUGGCAUAAUUCCAGUGAGUUCAAUGGGGAGCUACACUGAUUUACACCAGCUCAGGUUCUUGCCCUGUAUACACAUUUUUGAUCUGGCACAACAUGUACUACUGCUCAAGGCAGUCGGAAAUGGAAAGAAUAUGUGGUCACUGAUCUCUGUUAAUUCUUUUGUGGAUUUCUUGUAAAGAGGCAAGUUGGUUUUUGAAUAACAGAAUGUGAGCAAUUGGCAUUUCUACUGUUCUCCAGACAGAAUAUAGAAUCCAUCUCAUAUCUUACUUCCUAGGGUUUGGCCGUCCUUAAAUAAUAACAAAAGAACACAAACCUCAGUCCUUUCUCCCCAAACCUUACCAUUCUUAGCCCUUCCUGGUGAAUCUCUGUAUUUCCACCCCUCAUAGCUUCUGACCAGAGGCUUGCACCACCUCUUUUAUACCCUGUGAGCCAAGAAGUCAGAUUUGUCACAGUGAGUCAGCAAAAUUUACUUAGCUUUACAAGAGAGCCCUAUGAUGUUACAGAUUGUACCAUCUGUUAAAUGGGGCCAUAAGGAACCCCAAGGUCAAUGGUUGAUUUCUAAAGACUGAAACAAGCAAGCAUUUUAUAAAAUACAUGUUGCUUGGCUAUUUAUUUUUUAAGAGAUUUAAAUGUGAGCUUUUUCCGAAUUUCAUGCUGCCAGGUGCUUGUCUUGUUAUCUGCUUGGGAACUUAUAGGACCCCAUCUCCACAGUAUCUGAGUGUCUCACAAACACUAAUGGAUUUACUCUCAUGGCACUUCUGUGCAGAAAGGGAGUCUAUUAUCCCCAUCCCCCUUUUUUUUUACACACAGAUGGGGAACUGAGGCCCAGAUGGGUGCUCUGACCACCAGGCAAUAGGCUGCUCUGAGAGAAAGCCACCUUUACCCAUCCCCUACCCUGCAAUCGCAAAGGAACAGAAACCUCAAUCUAUAAAGGUGCUUAGGUGCCAGAAUCUUGAUUUACGCACCUAAAUCCAAGCUGUUGGCUCCACUGCAAUCCUGUCAAAUUAUGAGAUACCCAGUUGUACUACAGUGAUUGCUCAUGGGCAUGGUGUUCAUGUCGGCAACAGAAUGAGGCUUCCAAACUCUAUGCAAAUAGAUCCUGACCCAAACUUGACUCCCAUGAAAUGAAAGCCAACCACAUCAAUUACUUUCCAUAGCAUAUUUCCCAAAGUGCACCAUUCAGGGUGGAGUUCUUAGCAUACUGAAGUUUUAUAAAGCAGAUGGACUUCUUUCUGAUGCAUGUUCAUAACUGUUCAGGGCAGAGCAUCCAUAAAAUUGUGGGACAGAGGAAUGAGGGAAAUAAUACUGAAUUAAAUACUACUGAUUGUUCCAGUAGCGGUGUAACAGUAAACAUGAGAGGCAGUGUGGUUUAGUGUGGAGGGCACUAGACUGGGAAUCAGGAGACCUGGGUUCUGUUCCUAGUUCUGAUACUGACAGUUGUGUAUUCUUGGAUGAUCAAUUCACCAGUCUGUGCUGUCUGACUUGUCUAUUUAGUGUGCAAGCUAUUCAGGACAGGAACUGUCCACUAUGGUUAUGUCUACACUCUGAGCAAGGAGUGUGAUUCUCCUGCUCAUGUACACACACUUGCACUUGCUCUCAUCAUGCUAGUGCGAGUAUAAUUAGCAGUGUAGCAGAGGCACAGCUAAACCAUGCCGCUGCUGCUGUGGAUACACUGCUUGAUGAGAGCUAGCACGAGUAUGUCCACAUGAGUAGGGAAUCACACUCCUCAUUUGUAGUGUAGACGUAGCCUAUGUGUUUGUACAGUGCCUAAUACAACGUAGUCCCAAUCUAGGCUGGGACCUCAAAGUGCUUUUUUUAAUACAAACAGUAAUCAGUGUAAAAUGGCACACUAUCUGAGCAAUCAUUCAAAUAUUGUCCAAAUCACAAGCUAGUCCAUAAUGAAUAUGUUCAAUGAUAUUGCCUGGCUUUCCAGCUUUUACUGAGCCAUCUAGCUGACGUGGCCAUUUAUAAUUAACAUAAUGAAUAUUAAUAAUUCAUGCAAUAAAAUAGUGAAUUGUUACAUAAAUAUGUAUUCAAUUUUUAUGCAAAGGGAAACAAUAACAUGCGCUUUUUGCAAUGAACUAUUUUUUUUAAUACUACACACAUUAAAAGAGGCUGGAUUAUUGUUCUAAGAAUUCUGCUCCAUUAUGCAGCAUUAAGCAUUUACAGCUGAUUUGAACAAGUUAGGCUUUACCUCAGAUUUCCCUGAGGUAAUGUGUGAAACUGCAUUAUACAGUGAGUAUUGUUGAGACCUGAACAGAAACUGACUCUUCAGAUACUUGAAAAUCAAAAUGACAUGUUGCUAAAAUGCGGCCAACAGAUCUAUUACACUGUGAAUGUCUGACAGUUUUCUUUAACAUUGCCUGUCUUAAAAAUUAAUGAUGCAUAUUUUGUCGUCACCUCAUUACUGAUAUGAUAGUAAACAUUGUGGACAGGAAUCUAGCUAAGAAGGCAUGGAUAAAUAUGUUCUUUAUAUAUAAAAGAAUCACCAGGUUCACCAGAAAAGCAUCACCCACCCCACUCCACCUCACUCCCCACUGUAUUUAUACUGCUCUGACAGUAUUACCAUCCUAUAUUCUUCUUUUUAACAGUUUAUAAGUCUGUUAUAAAAAUUCAUCUGAAGUUGAAACAUUGUACAUAAGAUCUCAUCACAGAAACAGAUUUUUUUGGGGUGGACAAAUUUUGAAAAAGAAAAUGAGUUUAGAUGUGUUUAAGUUACAAAGCAGAAAAAAAGUUUUCUGCUACACCAUCUUUCAAUGCUUUCGUAAUUUAAGAACCGGUUUAACAUUUUUAAAAGUCCCAUCAGCUAAACACUUCUUUAUUCUACUUUAGCUAACAGGUUAAUAUCUAUCUAAUCUACAUGUCCAGCUAGGCGUGUGAUUCCCAGCUCACGUACACAUACUCGUGCUAGCUCCUAAUCGAGCUAGUGCACUAAAAAUAGUAGUGUAGCUGUGGUAGCACAGGCAGCAGUGAGUGGUGGCACAAGCCAUCCUAAGUACAUACCCAUUGCCUCCAGGCAUGCUUGCAGGUGGGGGAGCCAGCUUAUGCUCCUGCUUGCUGCUACCCAUUCUACUGAAGCUACACUUCAAUUUUUAGUAUGCUAUCUCAGUGAGACACGUGUAUACCCCUAGCUCAAAGUGUAGCUAUAGCCUAUAUGUCUCUAACUAGAGAAUUAAUGAAGAUGUAUUAGCUGAUUUCAAGCUGGCUUGGAUUGGUGCCCAUGUAUUUGGAGCGAUGGAUUUUCCAUUACAACAGUGCAUUUACUCUAUUUUUUUUUAAAUUUGCAGAAUUCUGAUUCUAUUGCUCUCCUUUUUUAAAUUAAAAAAAACCUCAGUGGCAGAAUAUCUAGUUAGUCAUAUAAAACUGAAAAGCAGCAGGACAAAGCAUGUGGUGUGCAUGUGGCCAUAAGAUAACACAUGCCCUGAAGGAGAUAUGAGAUUUGAUGUAAAACUUGAUACUUUUACUAGCCUACAAAGCAUUUUCCCUCAUGGGAACUCAAGCCUUGAAAUUCUGAAUCAUAACUGAGGACAAAUCUUCUAUUUUUUUAAAUACUAAGAACAAUAGAGAGCCAUCAACUGAUAAGUGUCUGAAUUUGUACAAAUCAUACAGGACUUUACACUACUGGUUAAAAACUUACAAGGAUAGACAAGAACCUACAAACUGCACUGCAGGAAGGCAGCACUAUUCUUUAUUUCUGAUUUCCCUCUAUACACCUAUGGCACAUUAAAGUAGUUCUUUUUCCAUGAGUGGAAACUUGCCUCACUUCUUUAAAUUGUAAAUACAGGAGCUUUAAAAUAUUCUAUAAAUAUGUAGGUCCUGAUGCAGUAAAAAAUUACUGCUCUGAUACUAUGGCAAUUGAUGUUGUAUAAGAACUUAAACAGAUAUCUGCAUCCUUUUGGACUGUGCAAUCACAGAAGACUUUUUAGAUAGCAGCUUCACAGCUGGCUAACCUGUUCUUUAUGAUUCUGAUUCAACAAAAAACUUAAGCACAUCUGUAACUUUUAGCAUGUGGGCAGUGCCAGUUGACUGAAAUGUAACUACUCACUAUUUAAAGUUACACACGUAUUGUAAGUGUUUUUCUGGAUCAGGAUCUAUGCUUGCUAAUAUUCAUGCUAUGACAUAAAUGUACAAUUAUUAGGGAAAAAUAGAUUUUCUGGACUAGUGCAUUUGAACAGCAAGUUACUGUGUUAGAGCCCAAUCCUGCAAACAAUUAAUCAAAUGCCUGACUUGACUCAUGCAUAGUCUCAGUGAACUCAAGGGGCCUAAACAUACUUACAUGCACAAGUGCUUAGAGGAUCAGAUCUUUCAGUGAAAGGAGCUAACAUAUGUUUUAGUUAAAUUACCAUAUUGGCAUAACUCAUUCUGAUUUAAUACUUUAGUUGCAUAGUAAAUGUGCAAGACACGACUUCUAAAGUAUUUUUAAAAUAGUUCAUUUAUUUAAAUAGCAGAAUAUACUGUCAUUAAUUAGGGCAGCACAAUUAAAGCCAAUUAAGUUUUGGCAGCCUGUCCCUUUAAAUGAGAAUGGGAUUAUGUCCCAUGGAUUCUGACACGGGAAUCUAGGCUACAAAAUGGAAAUUAUCCCUCAUAUAUCAGCACUUACGUAAUUUGGCAACCAGGAGUGACCAAAAGCUGCUGGCUAGUGUGAACUGUCUGUACUAAAACAGGAUUUUACUUACUCUACAUACUCUGCACAUUUUUAACAUCUGUAAUAAAAUAUGCUGUGCAUAUACAUAUAUAUAUUUUGACUGCUGUCUAGCUGUAAUAAAAUUAAAAUUGUUCUUGAAGUUAACAGCUUGAUUCCAGGUGCUAGGAUUUCCUACUGCAACAAGAGAAGACACAUUAAGGUCUAAACAUCUUGAAAAUUUCUACAUGUGAACAAACUUAACUGAUCUUGUAUGUUGUUUUUCAUAUGCACUUGUUUUAUAUUUUUUUUUUACAAUAUUUUUACAAAGGGAAAAAUCUCCAAGAAAAAAAAAUCAGAGCUCUCAAGAAACUAUAUUUGUCCUCAAUAGUCUCGAAAGCUCUUUUGGAACCAUUCUGAUCAAUUGGGUAAACUGCGUAAGAUUAGAUUGUCCUGAGUCCUAUUGUCAUAGUGAAGGGAAGUAAGGUCUGCCUGCAUUAGUAUUAGAUGUUGGGUGUGAUUCUGCAUGGAGCACAGGGUCUGCAUAGCAGCUGUUUCUCUUCUUUUCUCCAACAACAUCCCUCCCACCAAGGAGGUAGAGCGGAUAGAAGUAGGCUAAGCCAUGGUUCUGUGCUCUCCUUUCCCCGAAACUGGCUGGAGGGGGGGAGUAAGCUGCACCCUUUUUGUUGUAUCCUAAUUGAUUUAGGAGGCGGCUUCUGUAUAUAAUAUUAAAGUCAGAUUCCACAGACCACUGGUUUAAUUGUAGAGCUCACAGAACACCGCAUACAGCUUCUCCCUUUGUAGCUAACUGAACUCUCUAGUCCAAAACAACACCUGGACUGGACCCCUGACCUGGCUGCUAAACUCGGUAUUCUAAAAGACCAGCACAGAUCAUGGAAUGGAUUCUCCACAAACUACAUUUUUCAGGGCUGCAGUAACCUGCUUCCUCCUCCCCCGCCCCAGUAACACAAAGGAUGUCAAAAGUGUCCUGCCUCAGUCACAGUUGCUCCCAGGGAUCUUGCUGAGGUGGUGGACCUAUGUGCUGCUCCUUAUUCAGGGCUGUGACCAAACUGUUAAAAUUAUUAUCAAUGUAAAUACAAAUUAUUUACCCUGUAGUUUCUCAGGGCUCAGAAACAGCUAUCCCAGUAUGUAAUUUGACUGUUUUUAAAAACCAAAUAUUAAGUACACAAUCAAAGUUGGACUGGGCCUCCUCCCACUGAAAUAAAUGGCAUAAAUCCCAUUGACUUCAAUGGGAGAAAAACUGGGCUUUUUAUCAUGUAAUUAAGCUGUCAAAUUUCUGUAAUGUAUUAAUUGUAUUAUUCUCAUUAUUUAAAGAAUACCUAUUGAUUGUAAGUACUUAGAGGAUGAUUUGUAAAACUUUAUUCCCCAAUCCAGCAAGGUACUUAAGCAUGUUCUUAAUUUUAAGCAUGUGAGUAGUUACAUUGGCUUACAUUUGUGAACAUCAAGAGGAAAACAGAACCAUGAAAAUAAGCAUCAUGGAUCUAUAAAGUUAUCAUGCCAAACAAACUAAAUCAUGGUUUUGAUCUGCAAUAUUAGUGUACAAAGUAAACUUAGUAUAUGUAAUAUAUCUGAGCUUUAUUAAAACAUUUGAUAUAGUCCCCAUGAAAUAUUACUUUAAAUAUGAAAUUAGACAUAAGCAUGGUCAUAGUAAUUGAAAACUGACUGAAGAACUGUAAAGAGAAGGCAAUGAAAACUGGCAAUUGUCAAGUUGGGGAGGUAUCUAAUGCUAUUUCAACUCUUAAUUUCUUAUGCCUUUUGAUUAUUUCAACCUGUUUCCAUUUGCCUGCUUGCCCAAGAUGAAUAAAUCAUUGUAUGGGCUAACUGAAAUUGUCCCUUUCAUAUUUGGGGACUAUGGCCAUUAUUCCCAUGUAGCUGCCAUUUAGCUCUAACUGCAGUGGCCCUACUCUUCUAGUGGCUCUGUGUUCCAACAGU